AGCCUAAAAAAUAGAGGUUUUUUUGUCAUGAUUCCAGCGUUUGGAAAAAAUGUAUGAGACAGUUGUUGUCAGAUUUCACUGGUGAUUACAAAUAUGAAAUUUAAUCGAAAGCUUGGCAAACAGCUUUGGAGAAUUUGAUGUUUCCCCAUUCAAAGAGAUAGGAGUUGCACUUGGAUGCCCGAGAGGCGUUUCAAAGAUGGCCGCCGAGUGAAAUGACUUGUCUUAAAGGGACUUUGAUCAACUUCAAGCGACAUAAUGGUGUAAACUAUAGAAGCAGUGCAACGAAUGCUACCAGCAGCCUUUGACUACAGAAAUAGAUCUUCAGACCAGACUCGACAAAGAAACAUGUCAGUAAUCCUCCUAGGUUACAAUAUACCCUUUCCAUAAGGAUCUGGAAGAUGGCAAUUCCCUCAAACAUAAACUCAGUGGAGCUUGCACCUCUGGUUGUUGAAGAUGAGGUCAGGAAGAGCAAGGAUAGUGAGGCUAUCUGAAGGAGUUUGCAGUCAUUGGUCAGGAUGCAUCCUCGAUUGAAGGUCAUGUGAAUGGAUAUUCAUAAGAUGCAACCAAACACCUUGGUUUUCAAACUUAAUUGGCUUCUGUGUGGUGAGCUUUUAAACCCAGUGUCUUAUGCUUCACACUUCCAUGCAUACAUGAAUGGAGUAUAAUUUAACCAGGGCAAAAGAUGGACUUUCGGACCCUUGAAACAGACUAAGUCUAUGAUAAAUUGUGAUUCACAAGAAUGUUUAAAAUGUACAGUUAAAAUGAAAUGUGUAGUACUGUUUAAUGUUUUAAAGAGUUACAGGUAAUGUGUGUACUGUUUUUGGAAAUGUGAAAUUGAUCAAUAUGUAAAUGCAAUAAAUCCUGCAAUAUUGAUGACGCAUUGUGAUACAAUGUUUAAAAUGUUUUUUCUUUGAAAUCUGUGAAUGAAAUUGUGAGAUUGUAAUAUUUUUAAUGUUAUUUAAUAAAUGUUGU